rnacentral:rRNA from 1 species
UAAGGAAUGCAUGCGAUUGGAAGUGCAUGUCCAAGCAAUGAGUCUUGAGUAGAGUUAAAUGCUUUACUCUUUAAGGACAAGUUGUGACGGGGAGCGAAAUAAUAGUAGCGAAGUUCCUGAUGUCACACUGCCAAGAAAAGCUUCUAGUGAGAAAACAACUGCCCGUACCGUAAACCGACACAGGUAGUCGAGGAGAGUAUCCUAAGGUGAGCGAGCGAACUCUCGUUAAGGAACUCGGCAAAAUGACCCCGUAACUUCGGGAGAAGGGGUGCUGACUUCGGUCAGCCGCAGUGAAUAGGCCCAAGCGACUGUUUAUCAAAAACACAGGUCUCUGCAAAAUCGUAAGAUGAAGUAUAGGGGCUGACGCCUGCCCGGUGCUGGAAGGUUAAGAGGAUGGGUUAGCUUCGGCGAAGCUCAGAAUUGAAGCCCCAGUAAACGGCGGCCGUAACUAUAACGGUCCUAAGGUAGCGAAAUUCCUUGUCGGGUAAGUUCCGACCCGCACGAAAGGCGUAACGAUUUGGGCACUGUCUCAACGAGAGACUCGGUGAAAUUUUAGUACCUGUGAAGAUGCAGGUUACCCGCGACAGGACGGAAAGACCCCAUGGAGCUUUACUGUAGUUUGAUAUUGAGUGUUUGUACCACAUGUACAGGAUAGGUAGGAGCCGAUGAGACCGGAACGCUAGUUUCGGAGGAGGCGCUGGUGGGAUACUACCCUUGUGUUAUGAACCCUCUAACCCGCACCACUAAUCGUGGUGGGAGACAGUGUCAGAUGGGCAGUUUGACUGGGGCGGUCGCCUCCUAAAAGGUAACGGAGGCGCCCAAAGGUUCCCUCAGAAUGGUUGGAAAUCAUUCGAAGAGUGUAAAGGCAGAAGGGAGCUUGACUGCGAGACCUACAAGUCGAGCAGGGACGAAAGUCGGGCUUAGUGAUCCGGUGGUUCCGCAUGGAAGGGCCAUCGCUCAACGGAUAAAAGCUACCC